GGUUGUUGCGCUUGCGCCGUGCGGGUGGGUGCUGCUGCCGCCGCUGAGGGCCCGAGAGUCAGCCGCCCGCUCUCCCUCCCCCCCGAGGCCGCCUCUGGUGGAGGCGAGGUGUGGGAAAGUGUGUGUGCGCUUCCUCUGUGUGUCUUCCACCCGUGGGGCUCGCUUGGGGCCCAGCAGUGUGUGCCCUGCGGGCAGCCCUCCCCAUUGGAUGUGGCUCUCUAGCUGGGCCUUGCUAGGCCAGGGGAAGUCGGCUGUGGGUGGUGGUGUGGUAUCACGGUGCUGCGUUUGUCCCCUGGCCUUUCAGCAGUAUCUCCUUGCCCAAGGCAGAGAGCUCUUUGUAUUUGGAUGGGUCUAUGGCCCCAGGUCCUGUUCUCUCAGGUGCCAGCUUGCAGAUGAGCUCCAGUGCUCUGGACAGGGGAAUUUCACAGAACAGGGAACUUCCCUUCCUCAGGGAGAGGGAAAGCCAAAGCCUCUGAUUUGCAGAGGGGGAGCAGAAGCUCAAAAAAGGCAGGAUGGAAGGAUUGACAGACACCCCCCCAGAGUGAAACGUGCUGCAGCUGAGCAGCAAGGACAGACCUGCCGGUGACCUACAAGAACCUGCAGUGCCUCUGCUCCACUCCCUUCCUGCCCUCUGCUGCUGCGCUCUGGAGAAGCCAAAUCACAGAAGGAUCAGAGCAGGACACCUGGUGUGUGCUUAUACAGUUGGAAGGGGAAGGAAGUCCUGGCCAUGCCCUGCUGCUGGCUGUAAGGCUCAUCCAAAAUCGUCUGCAGCAGGGCAGGAUGAGAACUGAAGCUUUAGUAACGCUUGGUGCAUUUGGCUGGGGGGUCCUGUACCACCAGGAAACUGUCCUGGAGACUGCCGCUACCUACAUGCAAAAAAUGAGAGAAAAUGCAUAAUAUCCACCAUUAUUCAAGUUCCCUGCUCCCAAGUGACACGAACACAGACUUUUAGGCUGCUUUUAGUGCCUUCUGACAGAGGAGAGAGCUGUCAGCUCACCAUUGAACUGCUCAGCAAGCAGAGGUGCCCACCUGCGAGCUGGUUAAGCUGUCUGCCUGGCCCACUGAAGGAAGAAGUUAUGCCUGACUUGCAGGAGGUGGAUGCUAACCUGAAAAGCACUUAAAUGUUUUGCUUUAACUGUAUGUAUGGGGUGUUUUGUGUCCCUGUACAAUGCAAACCACAAGAACUUGUGCGUGGGGACAGUGGGAGUAGGUCUGAGCAGCUCUUCAAAGGUGGCAUGUUUGGCAGUGGGGUAUUCCACUUCUUGUUGCUGCAGUGACGCGCCCCUCCGUUGCACCAAGAGCCACUGGAAAACUGUAGCCUGCGCAAUACCUUUCCACUAAUAGCUAGAGACAGAGCACCCUCCUCUGUGUCCAGACGAUUAAAGCAGCCCUUUUAUCUGGGAUACCUGCCAGGCAGGAGAAAAAGGAAAAAGCUAGGUCAAACUGGUCUGAGAUUGCUCAAGCCAAGGUGGACUGGUCUGAAGUGGAGUAAAAACCUGAUCUCAUCUGCUAUUUCUCCUGGUCCGACUCGUCAGUAGCCUUCUUCCCUCAGCCGGUAGCAGUGUGACAAGGUAUGGCUUAAUUACAAUGCUGAAAUAAAAAUCAUUUCUUCAUUAGAUGUUGCUUUAUGGUGGCAUCAGUCGUCUUCUGUCCAGCUGCUCAUGGCAGAGCUCCAAGCAAGCUGAAUCGUGCUGGUUUGGCAGGUAUAUGGGGUGGUGGUGGUUUGAGCGCGCAGCUGGGCAGAAUGGGGCUCUGAGUCAGAAGCUCCUGGUGACGUUGCUAAAUUCAAUUUGCCACAAAGGUCUUUUUCUACUUCAUACUGGAGCUGUCUUUAUGCAGUCUUUCUGCCUUCAGAAAUAUGGCUCAGGCCCAAUUCUUGCGAGUCAUAUGCAUUCAUUCGUUAGCCGUUGGAAAAAGGCAAGUGAGGAAAAAGCGGUGGCCGUGUUACAUAUUUGUGGACUGGUUUCCACCACGCUUGUCUUCUGACAGCAGUUAGGUGACAAAGAUUGAAAGUCAAGACAGCCUGUCUUCCUACCCAGGAUACUGAGCUUCAUUUCUCCAGCCAUGGAGAUAAUCCCUGCGUCAGAUGACUUCACUUUAAAUUGUAGCGAAACCCUGAACUGAUGAUUUGGGAGCACACAGUGCCUGUUGUGGUUCUGAUUUUGGAGUGUUGCUUUGUGCCCAAGAAAGAUGGAUUGUUACUUGGCUAAGGCUAAAUGAGGAAGUAAUAUCAAAUGUUAUAUGAAACAGAAUCUCUUUUCAGCCCCAUUCAGUCCUUCAAACCCUGUUCAUCUUUCCCCUGGUGCUAGAAAUCAGCAGCCUUUCCUCCACCUCAGCUUAAUGCUAAUGGUUCUGAGCUGAUCUGAAUGAAUGGUAAAUCUUGUGUGUCUUCUACAGCGGUAACUGACUCACAUCAGCUCACUUGAUCACUUAUUCCAGGAAAAUAACACUCAAAUUUGCCACAGAACUGUCCCUGAGACACUGAAAUAUUUGUGAAUUCAAAGCUUUUGCAACUCAGAAUGGCAAUUUCUGGAAGUUUUCCUUUAAAAUUGUUCAUAUUGAAAUGUGGGGAUUGUAUGAAGAGCCUUGGUAGACUUCAGUUUGAGAGUUUGAAAUUGAUCACUUGGACAAACAGGAGCCCUUGCUCCAGGCAACUUUUCUCAGAUUAAUGUAGAAUAGUACAAAAACCUCCCUAAGAAAAAUCAAGGCAUAAGCCUGGGACUUAAUCUCUCCAUUUCAUGAUGAGGGUUUUUUUCAGGAAAGGGCUGUAUCUAUCUGGAAAAAAUGUCUUUUCCCGGUGAUGGACUUAAUUCCCCUCUCGUAUGGGAGGAGCAAAAGUUUCACAGUGAAAUGGGAAAAAGGCUUGCUUUUAGGCUUCUGAGUUUUGGCACAAGUCCCUGUGGGAUGUGUGUCACUGGCCCUCCCCAGCCUCUGGCAUUUCAUCACAAAAAUAGGACCUUUGCUGGUACUGGAGUGAACAGAGAAAAACACAGGGAUGUGCUCAGGGCAAGGAGGAACAAAAUGGAUGUCCCGUGUGGAUGGCUCUGUGUUAACAACCACGGUGUACCUCUGUCAUGUCAAUAUACUUGGUAAGGCCAUAUAUGCCAGGGCUGAAGACCCUCCUGCUCUCUCAAAACUUCAGAGGGACUCCGUAAGGCUAGCUCAGAUGUGGCUAGACUGACCCCUGAAUGGCAGCAAGGAACAGUUAAAUCUCAGAACUGCCUCAUAAACUUCUAAAAUCUUGGGAAAUUGACUUACCUGCAGAAGCCAAAGACAAAAUACAAUGUUGAGCCAAAAUAUCAUUUUGUUAUUUGGAGAUUCACCUCAACUCAAUUUCUGACUUUACAGAUUAGAGCAGCAGUUUCUGAAAAACAGCCUGGUCAGAAAAGCUGCCAGCUUUCAGCAGAAAAUGUGCUUUAGCAGUUUAUAUGCUUUCUGCUCGAUUGGUCCCUUAUGCUGAGGCUGUUCUGCACUCAAGUGUCACAAAAUACUUCUGACAAGCUGUGACACAUUUGUCCACCAUUGCUCCUCUCUCAUUUCUCUGGACUGCGUCUCAGUCCUUACCCUCUUCUGGCUUUGUCUAUUAAGACUGCAACAAAACCCAGCAAUUCUGAGCUGUGAUCUGCACCCCAGGUAGAUUUUUUUUUUCCAGCAGUCAACAAAAUGGCUGGAAUUCUCUCAGUUUUCCUUAGAUAUCCCUGCCUGAGUUAGUUGUCUAGAUUCCUAGUGUAGAAAGGCAGAGAUGAAACUGAGGCAUGGCUUACCUUAGCCUAAAAUAGGAAUAGGUGCCUACAGAGAAUUUUGGCCUGGAGGGGCCUUUGUGACUGAACUGGAACCAAUGCAGCUGCACUGUAACCUACAUCCAUGGUCUACCUAAAACUCAUUGAUUGAUGCCAGUCCCAGCUCGUGCAGCUGGAUGGGAAGAAGCUUGUUCAAGUCUCGCUGUUACUGGUUUCAUCCCUGAAGAGCGCAGGUAUCUUGUAUGGAGGUCUCCAGUUUAGAAUUACAGAUUGGUUGAGGUGGGAAGGGACCUCUGCAGGUCAUCUUAUCCAACCCCCAUGCUCCAGCAGGGUCACCCAGAGCUAAUUUUCCAGGACCAUGUCCAGAUGGCUUUUGAAUAUCUCCAAGGAUGAAGACUUCACAACUUCCCUGGGCAACCUGUGCCAGCACUUGGUCACUCUCACAGUAAAAAAAAAGUGUGUGUGGAUGUUCAGAGGGAACCCAUUGCCCCUUCUCCUGUCACUGGGUACCACUGAAAAGAACCUUGCUCCAUCCUCUUUGCACCCUCCCUUCACGUAUUUAUUACACAUUGGUAAGAUCUCCCUCAGCGUCUCAGGUCUGAACAGUCACAGUCUCUCAGCCUCUCCUCAUAGGAGAGAUGCUCCAGUCCCUUAAUGACAUUAGUGGCCCUUCGCUCGUGAAGUAUUUUUUCAAGACAGUUUUUUGCCAGGAAGGAGAUGAAAAUCUCAAAACAAAAAUGUCUUUCAACUUUAAAUUUGGAGCUGUCAUUGUAAUGUAAUUCUUUACACAGCUGCUAGAGAGGUUUUUAAAAGCGCUAUUUACACUUGUGCAUUAAAAACAGGAGCACAACAUGGCUAUAAGAAAUUAAUUUUCUGAUUUUGAAGCUAGCAAUUAAGAUUGGGACAAAUGUUCAUGUUUGUUGUUCCUUCUGCAGUCGCUCUUGUAAAACUAAAGGAGAACCAUUGACAUGAAAAGCUCUGUUGGUGUCAUUACCGCUGGGCUGCUUUGUUGUGUGGAACGUCAGCUCCUCUCUGGUUAGAAUGCAAUUGUGUAAGGCUCUUAAAAUCCUGUUGAAAUCCCUGAAGCCUGUUAGGGGAUCCCUCAUUAAAAAUGCUGGAUGACAGUCUAAAGUGUCACUUGCUGUAGAGACUGAGGUUGUUGACAAGACUGCAUUAAACCCAGCACUUUUUGCAAGCACAGUUUGUAAACCCAGAGAGACAGAGCGUAGCGUGUUCGUGCUUCCCUCCUUGUUCCUGUCUGUCUGGAAAAUGGAAAAACACUCUGGGUAAAAUAUCUCAUGUUUGCAGCGAGAAAAAAAAAUCUAAACUUAAUCUAGACUUCAUGUACAAGAGAGGAGGCUGAAAAAAAAGACAGAAAAGCCUGGUUUGUGGAUGUGUAUUCUUCUGUACCUUAAAGACAACGUAACAUCAUCCUCAGGAUGAAGAAGGAAGUAUGUGAUUGCUGCUAAAAUAAUGAAAGUUGAAGGCAUACCACGGGAGGAGAAAUUAAGAGAUUAUUUCAAUGUAAAUGUCCCUAUAAAAUAAGUUUU